rnacentral:rRNA from 1 species
GGAGCUGUCCUUAGUACGAGAGGACCGGGAUGGACGGGCCGCUGGUGCAUCGGUUGAGCCGCCAGGCUCACGGCCGAGUAGCCAAGCCCGGAAGGGAUAAACGCUGAAGGCAUCUAAGCGUGAAGCCCCCUCCAAGAUGAGACUUCCCAUUCUUCGGAAGUAAGGUUCCUCCAAGACGAGGAGGUAGAUAGGUCAUGGGUGCAAGCAUGGUGACAUGCUGAGCUGAAUGAUACUAAUAGACCGAGGGCUUAGCCGA